UUCCCCCAGUAGCGGCGAGCGAACGGGGAGCAGCCCAGAGCCUGAAUCAGUGUGUGUGUUAGUGGAAGCGUCUGGAAAGGCGUGCGAUACAGGGUGACAGCCCCGUACACAAAAAUGCACAUACUGUGAGCUCGAUGAGUAGGGCGGGACACGUGGUAUCCUGUCUGAAUAUGGGGGGACCAUCCUCCAAGGCUAAAUACUCCUGACUGACCGAUAGUGAACCAGUACCGUGAGGGAAAGGCGAAAAGAACCCCGGCGAGGGGAGUGAAAAAGAACCUGAAACCGUGUACGUACAAGCAGUGGGAGCACGCUUAGGCGUGUGACUGCGUACCUUUUGUAUAAUGGGUCAGCGACUUAUAUUCUGUAGCAAGGUUAACCGAAUAGGGGAGCCGAAGGGAAACCGAGUCUUAACUGGGCGUUAAGUUGCAGGGUAUAGACCCGAAACCCGGUGAUCUAGCCAUGGGCAGGUUGAAGGUUGGGUAACACUAACUGGAGGACCGAACCGACUAAUGUUGAAAAAUUAGCGGAUGACUUGUGGCUGGGGGUGAAAGGCCAAUCAAACCGGGAGAUAGCUGGUUCUCCCCGAAAGCUAUUUAGGUAGCGCCUCGUGAAUUCAUCUCCGGGGGUAGAGCACUGUUUCGGCAAGGGGGUCAUCCCGACUUACCAACCCGAUGCAAACUGCGAAUACCGGAGAAUGUUAUCACGGGAGACACACGGCGGGUGCUAACGUCCGUCGUGAAGAGGGAAACAACCCAGACCGCCAGCUAAGGUCCCAAAGUCAUGGUUAAGUGGGAAACGAUGUGGGAAGGCCCAGACAGCCAGGAUGUUGGCUUAGAAGCAGCCAUCAUUUAAAGAAAGCGUAAUAGCUCACUGGUCGAGUCGGCCUGCGCGGAAGAUGUAACGGGGCUAAACCAUGCACCGAAGCUGCGGCAGCGACGCUUAUGCGUUGUUGGGUAGGGGAGCGUUCUGUAAGCCUGUGAAGGUGUGCUGUGAGGUAUGCUGGAGGUAUCAGAAGUGCGAAUGCUGACAUAAGUAACGAUAAAGCGGGUGAAAAGCCCGCUCGCCGGAAGACCAAGGGUUCCUGUCCAACGUUAAUCGGGGCAGGGUGAGUCGACCCCUAAGGCGAGGCCGAAAGGCGUAGUCGAUGGGAAACAGGUUAAUAUUCCUGUACUUGGUGUUACUGCGAAGGGGGGACGGAGAAGGCUAUGUUGGCCGGGCGACGGUUGUCCCGGUUUAAGCGUGUAGGCUGGUUUUCCAGGCAAAUCCGGAAAAUCAAGGCCGAG
rnacentral:rRNA from 1 species